rnacentral:rRNA from 1 species
GGCGAACGCUGGCGGCAUGCCUAACACAUGCAAGUCGAACGGAGAUUAUUUCGGUAAUCUUAGUGGCGAACGGGUGAGUAACGCGUGGGCAACCUGCCCUCUAGAUGGGGACAACAUCCCGAAAGGGGUGCUAAUACCGAAUGUGACAGCAAUCUCGCAUGAGGUUGCUGUGAAAGAUGGCCUCUAUUUAUAAGCUAUCGCUAGAGGAUGGGCCUGCGUCUGAUUAGCUAGUUGGUGGGGUAACGGCCUACCAAGGCGAUGAUCAGUAGCCGGUCUGAGAGGAUGAACGGCCACAUUGGGACUGAGACACGGCCCAGACUCCUACGGGAGGCAGCAGUGGGGAAUCUUCCGCAAUGGGCGAAAGCCUGACGGAGCAAUGCCGCGUGAGUGAUGAAGGAAGUCGUUCCGUAAAGCUCUUUUGUGUAUGACGAAUGUACAGAUUGUGAACAAUGAUCUGUAAUGACGGUAGUAAACGAAUAAGCCACGGCUAACUACGUG